rnacentral:lncRNA from 1 species
CCGUGAUCACGAAAUUGUCUACAUGUUCAUCAACUGCAAGCCAAAAUGCAAGGAUCCCAAGUACAAGAGCAAGGCCAACAAGAAUAUCAAAACUGUGCAUGCUACAAAAAGACCUAAUAUUUUUUAUUGCCUUCUAACUUUCUAUUCAAUAGGCCAAUAAUAGGAAGUUGCUAAGAAUGUAAAAUAAAUAAAAGAUAUACCUACGCCAAUGAGGGCCACGAAGAAGCAAACAAG